UAGUUUUUUGAAAUUCUGCUAAAUACUUAUGUAAUUUCAACAUAAAAUAAUAAUAAACAAGUAGUAACAUACUCAAUGACUUUAAAAAAUUGAGUAUUUAUUUACAAUAGUUGAAAGAAGGCUGAUAGGUACUUAAAUCAAAGCUACUUUUUCAUGUAAUUGGGAAACAAAUAAAAACUUACCAAUUAAUAAAUAAAGAAUAAAAUCAUGAGAAUUGGAAUGUUCGUUUGGAAUGUUUCUUAGAGCACUUCAUUGAAUCAUUUUUAUGACUAUGAUGCCACUGUUGUUGGAGUGGCCAUUUGAGAAGGGUCAGUUAAAGCCACAUGGAGGGAAGGCAAUAAAGAGCUCAUACAAUAGAUGAUGGUCCAAUGAUACACACAUUGGCCCACACUAUUUGCCAUUGAAAAAUGAAGAUGAAGAUGAGUUCCCUAUCCUUGGAGACUCUUUUGGCAGUGUUCCCCACCAAAACACAUCAUAUGAGAUGUUCCCAAUGUUCCCAAUGGUUCCCAAUGCACCCACAUGUCCAUUCAUACACAUCCCAUUUGCACAUGACAUUGAAAUUUUAAGUUGAAGUGAUGGGAUUUUAAUAAGCAUUGAGCACAGAGUAGACCAUGUCCAUCCUACAAAAGGAAGGUUGGACGUCAUGGACAGUAAAGAAGGUUCUUAAUUGUCUUCUAAAUUAGACGGUGGUACAAUAAUAGUUAUUGUUCUAUGUUUUUCAUGGAGCUGUUCAAGUUAUGCAACAUGUCAUUCAGGUUUCUGAAGCUUU
rnacentral:lncRNA from 1 species